GGGAACUUUACUUUUUUUCCUGUAUCAAGAUGGCUGCUAUACGAGCAACCACAUUUUAUGGAAAGAGGAGAGGAGAAAGAAGUGAAGCAGAGAGGAUUCUAUACCAGAUAGUAGAGGGAGAUUCAGAUUUGGAGCUUUCAGAUGAGGAAAAGGAUGCAGAAGAUGAGUAUCAGCCUGUGACAGAUGAUGAUGAAGAAGGAGAAGAAGAAGAUGCAGGAGAAUCUGAUGAGACAGAGUCAGAGCCAGAGAGGGAGCAACAAAGUCGUCGUGAUCUAUGGGCCAGGACUAGCUUAUUCACACCUGUGCUACCUGUGCUUCCUGGCUAUCAAGAUGACCCUAAAAUUCGUG
ensembl:lncRNA